GGAAAACUGGUCUCAUUGCAUCCGCUUGUCAGAGAAAGUGUUAAAAGCAGUAUGAACUGACGGCAUAUCUAUGGACUUUUACGAAUAUGGAAGUUAGAUUGCGCAUAACCCCUAUGGGUACUGGUAGGUUUCCGCGGGAAAUUCUUUGCGUCAUUAUGUCACGCCUGUAAACAGAAAGGAAUGAGUCCCUGCUCAACCCCGUAGUCAAACGCAAAAGACUUCGGACUGUGGAUUGGCUACAGAAAUUGAAAUCUACAGCAGGUACUGGCUGCCACGGUAUCCGGGGUACUGAUAGCCCACCCAGCUGAGAAAAAAAAGAGUCUGCAGCUGACCAUGAUGCUGCCAACUCUGUCGGUGAAUCCGUAUGAGAACAUGCUGGGAACGUCAUCAUCCAUGAUCUCCAUCUUGCGGCCCUUGUACUCACCAACCUCAUACAGGCAGAUCUUGUGCUUCUCAGGGUCCU